GUAUUAGCUCAGUUGGUAGAGUGCUUGCCUUGCAUGCAUAAGGCCCUGGGUUUAAUCCCCAGCACCAUACA
rnacentral:tRNA from 1 species